UAAAACUUUCAACAAUGGAUCUCUUGGUUCCGGCAUCGAUGAAGAACGCAGCGAAAUGCGAUAACUAAUGUGAAUUGCAGAAUUCAGUGAAUCAUCGAGUCUUUGAACGCACAUUGCGCCCCCUGGUAUUCCGGGGGGCAUGCCUGUCCGAGCGUCAU
rnacentral:rRNA from 1 species